rnacentral:rRNA from 1 species
UACGUAGGGGGCAAGCGUUGUCCGGAAUCAUUGGGCGUAAAGAGCGCGUAGGCGGCCCUGUAAGUCCGCUGUGAAAGUCAAGGGCUCAACCCUUGGAUGCCGGUGGAUACUGCAGGGCUAGAGUCCGGAAGAGGCGAGUGGAAUUCCUGGUGUAGCGGUGAAAUGCGUGAGAGAUCGGGAGGAAGGCCGGUGGCGAAGGCGGCGCUCUGGAACGUUUCUGACGCUGGAGGCUCGAAAGCGUGGGGAGCAAACAGG